ensembl:lncRNA
GAAAGGGGCAUGCUGCUCCAGGAGGGUCCACAUGGGGAAACACCAGGAUUGGUCAGGACCAGAGAGGAAGGGGUGAGCUGUGGGCAGGGGCCUUCAUCAUGGUGUCUGUGGGAGGAACAGCCUGGAGGGAUCACAAAUGGAACACCUCCAGUGGCCAUCUUUCCCACCAUGCAGAAAGAGCCUGCCUGGGAGUGAAAUAAUGGAGAAGGAAGCCAGCUCAGAGAGGCAGGAGAGAGCUCAGUGACCAGCAGGAGGUUCCCCCAAGCCUGGACUUUAAGCAAAGUUUCUGAUGUUUAUGACAGGAAGACUCUAAAAUAUACGGCUUAAAAUCAUCUUUCCCCUCCUUGUUACGCACAGCUCUUCCAUAUUUGGGGCCAAGGCUUUAUAAACACAGGCUGGUACAACGUCGGGGCACUGAAAUAAUAAACAAAUAUUCACAGGCA